rnacentral:lncRNA from 1 species
UUCCUACUUCUCCUUUACCCUAAAGCACAUCUGCGGCAAGGACGUCUCCGUGAUGAUGCACAGAGCAUCCCUCGUGGAUCUUAGCAAAGCUCUUCCCCACCCUACUCAUCACCGGGAGCACCGGUGGAGGAGGAGGAGCAGGGACUGCUCUCUUUCCCCUUUGUCCCGAGGGCAGCAGAGGGUGAGAAACCAGACUUUUCGCCGAGCAAGCAAAAAGACUCGGGUGAUGAAGCCAAACCACUUCACUCCCUUCCCACCGUGCCGCUGUGCUGCUCCCUCGGCCAGGAGGGUGCCGGGGACACCGGGGGAUCGGGGCGGGGCUGGGGGGACCCACCCAGAGCCAGCUCCGGACCCCGGCCACCACAGCUCGCGUGGAAACUUCUGGGAUUACGUUUCCCGUGUGGGAAUGGUCCCGGUGGGGUGAAGGUACCUUGGGGCGGGCGGGGGAGCCCCCGGGGUCACCGAAGAUCGCUGCUGGCCGGGUGCUUUUUGGGGUUGCUGGUGUCCUCGGGGUGCUGCCGGACAUUUGCGGUGUGCUGGGACGCGUGUCACGGCCAGGGGGCUGUGACGCACGGGGACAACGUGCCACGAGGCUGUGGCCGGUGACUCAGGGACACGGGGCGAGCUGGCAAAGGGGCGUGGGUUACGUCGGUCACCCUGAAUCACCCGUGGCACCGCCGGCGGCUGCAGCAAGCUGGGUGAGCAGCGCGGCACCUCCAUCCCUCCCCUCUGCAGCCCCUCCGGCCCCUUCCUGGGGAUCCUGGUGCUGAACCCCCACCAUGGCAGCUCGGCCGGGCUGUGCUGGUCCCCGCCAAGCCGCUGGGUCCGGGUGCAGUGGAACCCACCCGUGUUUGGGGGCCGCGGGAGGCUGGGGCGGACACGGAAACGGGGCGUGUGUGUCAAAGCGGGCGGUCGGAAAGAGCUCCCUCUGUUUGUGAGCCCUUCGUGGUGCCGUGGGAAAGGCUGAUCGCUGACCUGCGCCUUCCAGCCCUGCCUUGUCCCCCGGCAGCAGCAAAGGAGCAUUAAAUGUGAAUUACAGCAGGGGCUGAGGGCAUGUGGUGGCACUGAGGGACGGGGCUCUAGAGCAAACCGGGCUGUCCCCAGCGCAGGGGAUGUGUGGGAACACAUCUACACUGCUUGAUGUGCUGAGAACAGACAACUCACAGCAUCAGUGAGAGCUGCUGCAGCUCCCUGAACCCUUCAUGGCUAUAUGGAAGUGCCAACCAUACCUUAGAUCCUACCACAGAUCCUACCUUAGAUCCUAGCCCCUGCUCCGUCAUUACAAUUCCCCCAUUUUUCCUCCCAUUUUAUUAUUCUAGGGGUUUGGUGUUUUAGGAUGUGGGGAAGGAGCAGAGAUGGCUCUCA